UAUCCGCCAGAAAACUACGAGCGAAAAGCUUAAAACUCAAAGGACUUGGCGGUGCUCCAUAUCGGCUUAGAGGAGCCUGUCCUAUAAUCGAUACCCCACGCUAAACCUCACCAGUCUUUGCCAAAUCAGCCUAUAUACCGCCGUCGUCAACAUACCUUGUGAGAGAAGAACAGUAGGUGUAAAAGUCCUAUGACUAAAACGUCAGGUCAAGGUGUAGCUAAUAGACUGGAAGAGAUGGGCUACAUUUUUUAAAAUAAAACACACGACAUGGCACUAUGAAACUCCUGCCUGAAGGAGGAUUUAAUAGUAAAACUAAUAAGA
rnacentral:rRNA from 1 species